UACGUAGGGCGCAAGCGUUGUCCGGAUUCACUGGGUGUAAAGGGUGCGCAGGCGGAUUGGCAAGUCAGAGGUGAAAUCUCACGGCUCAACCGUGAAACUGCCUUUGAUACUGCUUAUCUUGAGUUCGGGAGAGGUUGAUGGAAUUCCAGGUGUAGCGGUGAAAUGCGUAGAUAUCUGGAAGAACACCAGUGGCGAAGGCGGUCAACUGGCCCGCAACUGACGCUCAUGCACGAAAGCGUGGGGAUCAAACAGG
rnacentral:rRNA from 1 species